GAUGAACGCUCGCUACAGGCUUAACACAUGCAAGUCGAGGGGAAACGACAUCGAAAGCUUGCUUUUGAUGGGCGUCGACCGGCGCACGGGUGAGUAACGCGUAUCCAACCUGCCCACCACUUGGGGAUAACCUUGCGAAAGUAAGACUAAUACCCAAUGAUAUCCCACGAAGACAUCUGAAUGGGAUUAAAGAUUUAUCGGUGAUGGAUGGGGAUGCGUCUGAUUAGCUUGUUGGCGGGGUAACGGCCCACCAAGGCAACGAUCAGUAGGGGUUCUGAGAGGAAGGUCCCCCACAUUGGAACUGAGACACGGUCCAAACUCCUACGGGAGGCAGCAGUGAGGAAUAUUGGUCAAUGGGCGAGAGCCUGAACCAGCCAAGUAGCGUGCAGGAAGACGGCCCUAUGGGUUGUAAACUGCUUUUAGAAGGGAAUAAAGUGGGUCACGUGUGACUUUUUGCAUGUACCUUAUGAAUAAGGACCGGCUAAUUCCGUG
rnacentral:rRNA from 1 species